rnacentral:rRNA from 1 species
AACGAACGCUGACGGCGUGCUUAACACAUGCAAGUCGCACGAGAAUUUCCGCCUUCGGGUGGAUUAGUAAAGUGGCGCACGGGUGAGUAACGCGUGGAUAAUCUGCCUUCAAGUCGGGAAUAACAUUGCGAAAGCGAUGCUAAUACCGGAUAAGCUCACGAUUUGACUAGUUGUGGGAAAAGAUGGCCUAGUCUAUGCUAUCGCUUGAAGAUGAGUCCGCGUACCAUUAGCUUGUUGGUAGGGUAAUGGCCUACCAAGGCAACGAUGGUUAGCUGGUCUGAGAGGAUGACCAGCCACACUGGAACUGAGACACGGUCCAGACUCCUACGGGUGGCUG